rnacentral:rRNA from 1 species
GAUGAACGCUGGCGGCGUGCUUAACACAUGCAAGUCGAACGGAAAGGCCCAAGCUUGCUUGGGUACUCGAGUGGCGAACGGGUGAGUAACACGUGGGUGAUCUGCCCUGCACUUCGGGAUAAGCCUGGGAAACUGGGUCUAAUACCGGAUAGGACGAUGGUUUGGAUGCCAUUGUGGAAAGUUUUUUCGGUGUGGGAUGAGCUCGCGGCCUAUCAGCUUGUUGGUGGGGUAAUGGCCUACCAAGGCGUCGACGGGUAGCCGGCCUGAGAGGGUGUACGGCCACAUUGGGACUGAGAUACGGCCCAGACUCCUACGGGAGGCAGCAGUGGGGAAUAUUGCACAAUGGGCGCAAGCCUGAUGCAGCGACGCCGCGUGGGGGAUGACGGCCUUCGGGUUGUAAACCCCUUUCGCUAGGGACGAAGCGUUUUGUGACGGUACCUGGAGAAGAAGCACCGGCUAACUACGUG